AAAGUGCGAUAAGUAAUGUGAAUUGCAGAAUUCCGUGAAUCAUCGAAUCUUUGAACGCACAUUGCGCCCUCUGGUAUUCCGGGGGGCAUGCCUGUCCGAGCGUCAUUGCGAACCCCUCAAGCACGGCUUGUGUGAUGGGCCCUCCCGCGUCUUGGUCGUCAAGACGGGCCCGAAAAGCAGUGGCGGCUUCGCGGUUAUCCGAUCAGCCAGAGCGUAUGGGGACUUUCUCUCUGUCACACGCCCGCGGCGCGGACCGACGCCUGUCGACCUUUAUUCAUCUUUUUCUCGGUUGACCUCGGAUCAGGUAGGGAUACCCGCUGAACUUAAGC
rnacentral:misc_RNA from 1 species